CAAGAUCAAAACAACCAUCUCCUCCAUUCUCUCUCUCCCUUUUCAUAGGCCAGCAGUGUAUGCAUGUGGGCGUGACGAGUGUUGUGUGUGUGUGUGUGUGUGUGUGUGUGUGCAUGGACUUCCAAUCAGUGGUGGCUGCGGACGGCCCGGUGCCCUACGCUUGGAGGCAGCCAUCUGUCAGCUGACGCUUGGUCGCCACAGCAAUCAGAACGCUCUGCGGCGGGUCCAAUCUGUUCCACCACAGCCUCCUCGUCAGCUGCAUCCCUCCCACUCCAAGCUAUAGCUGUCAGAAGGUGGGACCACAGGGAGCCGGCAAUGGUAUUUAUAGCACGCCAGCGCUCUAAGUGAUAGAUGUCACCUUCACGCCACCGCCUCUGGGGCACUGCACCAACCAUCCUGCCCCACUAACAAGCUGCAAAGUGCUGUGGAUGCAUGUAGAAGUGAGAUUGGCGGCAUCAUAACUUCGCCUGCUUUCAAUGCUGGAAGGCAAUUGGACGCUUGUGAUGAAGGCUACUUGGUUCAGCCCAAUCGACAUGCUCACAGUAGAUGCCCCCGUAGAGAGGAUACACCGAAAAGAAAGAUGUGGAGGGGUGUUACUGCUGACAAUGGGAUGGAGAAAUGGAGACGGUGGAAGAGGAAGAUGGAACCAUAAAAGGCUGUCUCGGUGAGAAAAGGUUCAUCAUUUUGCUCUCCAUUUCAUCUCACGGUGCUAUAAAAGAGAGAUGAAAUCAGAAGGCUGUCAGGUAAAGGAGAGUAAAACCUUUUGCCUCGUCGCUGAAAUGGACCGAGGAGAGAAAUGGAGAGGUAGAGCGCCCUGCUUCACUUCUCCUUCACAGCAAAAGCUCUUGACUGUCAAGAGAACAAAAACACCUUGCAUCAGGGUUUUACAGGCCGAGUCUUUCAAAGUGGUUUGAAGCCUUUAUUGGAGCACAGUCAGCUUUUAGCAGAGAUUCAGGGGGAAAUGUUCUUUAUGAACUGGGUUAAAUGGCGACAUACAAAGAAGGGCCAUUUUUUUUUAUUUCCAAACGAUUCUGAAAUGCAAGAAAAUCGAGAUAAACCGGUUAUUGUGCCACAGUGAUGAUGUCGCAGUGAUGCUCUCAUUUUGUCUCAUGUUAUAAAUCCAGCACACCCCUUUCCUUCACAGCUGUGUGCUUUCACUGCUCCCUAAAAGGCCAAACUCCCCGUCAGCCAGGCAGUGGCAUGUGUAGUUCAGCUCAAGAUGACGGAGAGAGACUCGUUGGUCGACAGUCGUGUUAAAUAAUUGUAAUCUCAGUAUUGACCAAAAUAAUUAUGAUCGCAUGGUUUUUUUGCCCUAAUUUAAUGUAUGUAUUAUCCUUUCUCCUGUCGAGGUGAAAACCACAGCAGGACUGGUUUGCUCUGAUAUAACCAACCAGUUGAGAUUUCUAUCAACCACCUGGUGUUAAAUGAUAAUUUGAGGCAUGUCUUAAAACAAUACUUAGACAUAUGUACAUUGAAACAUACCGUUUGUACUGACUGGGAAGAAAUCCCCUUUCAUUGUUGUCAAUGUGCAUAAUGGAAGAAUAAUUCCACAGUUUGGUUUGCUGUUCUCCACCACAAAAGUUUAACCAAAUGUAAUUUGAGGCUUCAACAAUUGCAAUGAGUCAAAUUAAGUAGAUGUCUUCCAAGUGUUUUUUUUUAAUUUUGCAUUAAAAC
rnacentral:lncRNA from 1 species